rnacentral:lncRNA from 1 species
GUGGAGUUACACCACCAUCUGUCGUUAAGCUUAGGGACUACAAAAUUUGGUACCUAAAAUAAAUCUUAAUGAGCUUUCUCAACUUUUUUUUAAAAGUCACAGACAAUAUAUUUCAUUUGUGUUUUUUAGCACAUACCCUGAAUUUACCUGGAUCCUGAAGCAAUAAAUAUUUGUUCAUAAACCCUCUCUUCUAUGUGGGUUCUCUCAUCUUCAGAAAAUUAAAAAAGUCCUGCACAUCUGGCAGCCUUCACAAAAAGCCCUUUGGAAUCAGCUGUGGUCCUGCAGAUUUCCACUGGCCUGCUCCUGACUUCUAGUAGGCUACUGGUAGGAACGGUGGAGACUCAAAAACAGGGGCUACCCAUGUCCUCCAGUGGUGCCUUCUGGAGAACUCGCUGGCCAGAGAAGAUAAUCUUGAAGUGAAGAUACAGGAUAAUCAGAGAAACUGUUCCAGUCACAGCUGCCAGAAGGAGCAGAUGCACAAACCAUCGGCCAUCCCUGG